GACGAACGCUGGCGGCGCGCCUAACACAUGCAAGUCGAACGAGCGAGAGAGAGCUUGCUUUCUUGAGCGAGUGGCGAACGGGUGAGUAACGCGUGAGGAACCUGCCUCAAAGAGGGGGACAACAGUUGGAAACGACUGCUAAUACCGCAUAAGCCCACGACCCGGCAUCGGGUUGAGGGAAAAGGAGCAAUCCGCUUUGAGAUGGCCUCGCGUCCGAUUAGCUAGUUGGUGAGGUAACGGCCCACCAAGGCGACGAUCGGUAGCCGGACUGAGAGGUUGAACGGCCACAUUGGGACUGAGACACGGCCCAGACUCCUACGGGAGGCAGCAGUGGGGAAUAUUGCACAAUGGGGGAAACCCUGAUGCAGCGACGCCGCGUGGAGGAAGAAGGUCUUCGGAUUGUAAACUCCUGUUGUUGAGGAAGAUAAUGACGGUACUCAACAAGGAAGUGACGGCUAACUACGU
rnacentral:rRNA from 1 species